rnacentral:rRNA from 1 species
AAUCAACGCUGGCGGCGUGCCUCAGACAUGCAAGUCGAACGCGAAAGUCCCCCUCGGGGGACAAGUAGAGUGGCGCACGGGUGAGUAACACGUAGGUAAUCUACCUUCGGGUGGGGAAUAACAAUCGGAAACGGUUGCUAAUACCGCAUAAUGCAGCGGCACCUAAUGGCGACAGUUGUUAAAGCGGGGGAUCGCAAGAUCUCGCGCCUGAAGAGGAGCCUGCGGCGGAUUAGCUAGUUGGUAGGGUAAAUGGCCUACCAAGGCGACGAUCCGUAGCCGGCCUGAGAGGGCGGUCGGCCACACUGACACUGACAUACGGGUCAGACUCCUACGGGAGGCAGCAGUCGGGAAUUUUGGGCGAUGGGCGAAAGCCUGACCCAGCAACGCCGCGUGAAGGAUGAAAUCCCUCGGGAUGUAAACUUCGCAAGAACGGGAAGAAUAAGUUUGUGCUAAUACCACAAGCGAUGACGGUACUGUUUGUAAGCUCCGGCUAAC